GGAAACCAUCGUGUCUGCCGCGUGUUUCUUUUUUUAAUAUUUGUUUAUGUGUGUAAUAUGGGUAAACGGGCACAUGUAUUUCUACGUGUUUUAAACCUUAUCAGAAGUUUUGCCAGUUAUAACCUUGCUUUGAAGAGCUGAUCUGACAUGAUUUAUAACUCACCCAUGUAUCCCACCCCACCCCUCCUCUUGUAUCGAAGACAAUUUUGGAAUGUGACAAAUGAGAUCUGAAGAAAUCAACAUAUAUGAUCUCCGUCUCCCAGUUUUUCAUAGAUGUAUUCAACCAAUUUAAUAAUUGCAUGAUUUGUUGAAUAGUUGUUCUUGAAACUGAAAUUUUCAGUGGUUAAUGAUUGUAUUCGUCCCUAAAAGGCUAUUACUUUUAUUUAUUACAAAAAUUCCUGUGGGCUCUAUAAGAUUCCUUUUUUUGUGUCGAUGACGUAAUCGAGAUUGUGCAUCUUGUGGCGGGCCCGCGUUCGGUGCUUUUUGGUGGUAUAGCGAAGGCGGUCAUACGGGUUGUCGACUGCCUAAGAUUGCAUACCCGUACCACUUCAUAGUGUCCAUAUAGUUGAGCAUUGCUUUUUCGUUUUAGAAUUGCGAGUCUGUCGCAAUACUGAUUAGAUUACAACUUUCCCAAUAUACUGUAUCUGAUCAGAAGAUGUUUUCCAGAACAUCAAUUUUCUUGUUGGACACUAUGGAACGUUUUUUCAAUAUGCUGUUAUUAUUUUUCUGUAUUUUUUGUUGUUGUGAAAAUAUCUCCUUUUUCUUCAACUAGAAUAGACAAAUUGCUCAGUCAACUACUUGAAAUUUUCGGCAGUCAAAUAAUAUUUGUGUGAUGAUGAAAAGUCCCUUCGUGAUCAUAUAUUUGAGUAACAAGAUGUUAAUGGUGACGUAACGAUUAAAAUUUUCGCAAUCACUCUGACACUUUUACUCCAUGGUUGCAAACAUUAUCUGGUUUUAUUGUUUUGAUAGAUCAGGGUUUCCCAACUGCGGUACAUGUAGGCUACCCCCGGGGGCACAUUUCGACCCUUAAGGGGGACAACAGCUUUUAUUCAGGGAUGUUUUUUCCAUAACUCCUAAUUUGCCUAGAAAUAAAUGUUAUCACACGAUAUUAUUAAUUUAAAUACCUGAGUUGAUGACUGCCUAAGAAGUCACAUUUCCACCAAUAGAAGCUUUAUUGCAACCACAAUAACAACCAAAUCUAUGUACUUUGUCAAAAAUUAUUGGGAAAUGAUUAGUUACAACCAAGCCUCUUCAGUCUUCACUAAGGAUGCUAAGUAUGAUUACUUACAAGUAUUCGAUUC